GGUUGAUUCUGCCGGCAAUCAUUCGCUCGUCUCAAAGAUUAAGCCAUGCAUGUGUAAGUUUAACUGGGUUAAAUGGAAAACUGCGGACGGCUCAUUAUAUCAGUUAGAAUCUUAUGGAGAGUGUGGUGUUAUAAGGAUAACUGUAGUAAUUCUAGAGCAAAUACUUGCGAAAAAACGUAACUUUAAGGAGCGUUGCAUAUAUUUGAUUAAGCCAACAUUUGUGGUGAUUCAUGAUAUCUUAGCGGACUGCAGUGCUUCGGCGGCAGUGAUUCCAUCGACUUUCUGCCCCAUCAGCUGGAUUGUAGGGUAGUGGCCUACAAUGGCGGUAACGGGUGACGGAGAAUUAGGGUUUGAUUCCGGAGAGGGAGCCU
rnacentral:rRNA from 1 species